CGCGUAGGCGGCUUUGUAAGUCGGAUGUGAAAGCCCUGGGCUUAACCUGGGAAUUGCAUUCGAUACUGCAUAACUAGAGUAUGGUAGAGGGAAGUGGAAUUUCCGGUGUAGCGGUGAAAUGCGUAGAUAUCGGAAGGAACACCAGUGGCGAAGGCGACUUCCUGGGCCAAUACUGACGCUGAGGUGCGAAAGCGUGGGGAGCAAACA
rnacentral:rRNA from 1 species